rnacentral:rRNA from 1 species
UACGGAGGGAGCUAGCGUUGUUCGGAUUUAUUGGGCGUAAAGAGCUCGUAGGCGGCUUGUCGCGUCGACUGUGAAAUCCCGCGGCUCAACUGCGGGUCUGCAGUCGAUACGGGCAGGCUAGAGUUCGGUAGGGGAGACUGGAAUUCCUGGUGUAGCGGUGAAAUGCGCAGAUAUCAGGAGGAACACCGAUGGCGAAGGCAGGUCUCUGGGCCACUACUGACGCUGAGAAGCGAAAGCAUGGGGAGCGAACAGG